GACGAACGCUGGCGGCGUGCCUAAUACAUGCCAGUAGGACGCACAGUCUAUACCGUAGCUUGCUACACCAUAGGCUGUGAGUUGCGAACGGGUGAGUAACGCGUAGGUAACCUGCCUAUUAGAGGGGGAUAACUAUUGGAAACGAUAGCUAAUACCGCAUAACAGUAUGUAACACAUGUUAGAUGCUUGAAAGAUGCAAUUGCAUCGCUAGUAGAUGGACCUGCGUUGUAUUAGCUAGUAGGUAGGGUAAUGGCCUACCUAGGCGACGAUACAUAGCCGACCUGAGAGGGUGAUCGGCCACACUGGGACUGAGACACGGCCCAGACUCCUACGGGAGGCAGCAGUAGGGAAUCUUCGGCAAUGGGGGGAACCCUGACCGAGCAACGCCGCGUGAGUGAAGAAGGUUUUCGGAUCGUAAAGCUCUGUUGUUAAGGAAGAACGAGUGUGAGAAUGGAAAGUUCAUACUGUGACGGUACUUAACCAGAAAGGGACGGCUAACUACGUG
rnacentral:rRNA from 1 species